UCCUCAGGGGUACCCCAAAUGGGGGAGGCUGAGGCGCUGUCCCCCCUGUGCUGCCCCCAGGUUGCGCCUGGCCUCGUUCGACUGCAGCGGCAAGAUGAUCUGCAGCAGGACCACGGGCUAUCAGAUCCUCACCCUGGAGAAGGACCAGGAGCAGAUCGUGAUGAAUUUGGACAGCAGGCUCCUGACCUUCCCCCUGUACAUCUGCUGCAACUUCCUGUACACGUCCCCGGAGAAGAGGGCGGGCAGCGAGGCGCAGCUGGAUCACCUGGAGUGCUGAGCCCUGCCUGCCUGCAGGGCCUUACACUGUGGCACAGCCCCGGCCUUAGUGCUCUCCUAUGCAGCUCUGGCUUUAGGUAGGCCAAAACCAGUCAUCUUUUCAAUUUUUUAAAAUUUUAUUUCUGUUCUGCAUCGUCAGGCAGGAGCCAUUCCGUGUUUGAGAAGUGUUGUCACACUCGGGCUUUUCUGGGUGAAAACUGAGCCAAAUUGGAAAUAGGGAAUUUGUGUGGAUUUACAACUUAGGCAAUUACCUGUUGGACUCUGAGCACACAUUGUAGGUUGUGUGGGUUUUGUUAGUGUGGGGUUUGGUUGUAUUAUUUGUUGGGUUUUUAAAUAACUGAUCUGUAAAUACCAGAUCCAGCGUUUGCUUUUUUUCCUGGUCCUUUUCUCUUAGGGCCAGUUAAUCUCUGUAAAUGUGGCAUCUCAACUUUGGUUAUUUAACUGCACAGUCUUUCCCACCUGGUGGGUUUAAACCUUUUUUGCAGCUCACACAAACACACAUUUCAUUCUUGGUCUUGCUCUAACACUGCAGCCAAUAAUUCUCUGUCUUUUAGCAGGUUAAUUUACGAAUAAGGAUGUUCAUAAAUGAAUUAUUUUUUCCAUGUACAGUGAGUUCUCCAAUGUCCUCACCAUUACUUGAGUCCUGUCAGCAGCAGCUCUCAGCUGGAGUUGUGCUGAGUGCUGACUCUACUCACACAAACCAAAUACCAGUUUUUAAACAUUUCCUGUGGCUUGUUUUAGCUGUUACCUUGGGAAUACAUCCCAUGUUAGCUCAGGAACUUGUGACUUUCCAGUGCCUUUUGAGUUGUAUGUGUAACACCAACUUCACAUCAGUUCAGCAAGGUCACAGGAUCCAAAGGCAGAGCUGGGAACAAGAGAUUCCUCUCCACUUGGUGUGAUGGAUGAGUCGUGUCAUGGUACACUCUGUUCAGUCUUUGUUGGGUUUUGUGUUUGUCUCUUACAAUUUUCAAUUCUUACAGCAGGAUUUUUUGAUUCAAACUGGGAAUUUUUGCCUCGUUAAUGCCUAUUUUUUUAAUGUCAGAAAAAUAUAAAACCAUUUGUACUUUAUAACAAGGGUAAAAAUAUGCUGAGCAAGAUAGAAAAACAUGGCAACGUGUCAGUAAAUGAUUUCAAGUGGAA